rnacentral:rRNA from 1 species
UACAGAGGUCUCAAGCGUUGUUCGGAUUCAUUGGGCGUAAAGGGUGCGUAGGCGGCGCGGUAAGUCGGGUGUGAAAUCUCGGAGCUUAACUCCGAAACUGCAUUCGAUACUGCCGUGCUUGAGGACUGGAGAGGAGACUGGAAUUUACGGUGUAGCGGUGAAAUGCGUAGAUAUCGUAAGGAAGACCAGUGGCGAAGGCGGGUCUCGUGGACAGUUCCUGACGCUGAGGCACGAAGGCCAGGGGAGCAAAACGGG